AAAUUUCACUCCCACCCUUUGCCACUUCCUAACCGUCGUUCCCGGGCGGCACUCCUCUACUCACGUUAUCUGAUGUGUUUAAGGGUAUCAAGCAGCAUAUUGGAGUCAUUGGGGACGAACCCCAUCUCACUUAUCUCACAUCCUCUCUCUUUCUCUAAAUCUCCCUUGGCAUACACUCGUUACAACUUCGGAGUUUUGCAUUAUACUGGUCUCAUCGGUCGUCGUGGAAGGAUCAACUAAUCAAGAAUGAGUUCUUUAUUUCAAUUUGUUCAUCGUUUCAGUGGUUUGUCACCAGCAUGGAUUGCUUCUAGCUUUUGGGAGUGGAAAAGGAACUUGCUUUACAUGCCCUUAUCAUGUGAGUUAACUUCUACUAUCUGGGAAUUGUGUUUUCUUGGUUAGUUGGCGAAUCUUGAAAGUACAAGCAUGUACGAGCUCAGUUUUUUGCAGGUCUUUUGUGACAGUUACUUAUUAUACGGCGGGUAUCGUGUACCUUUCGCACAUAAAGAUCUUGCAUCGGGUCUUAAGCUUGACUCUUAUUUCACUACAAUUGCAUUAUGGUUGUGCACUUUCUAACUGUUUCUUAUUUUUGCGUGCCCUAGGAUCAGUAUUGUCUAUGGAUGGACACCAAUAUAGUACUUACAUUGUGAGUAUAAUGUAGUGCAAACAACAGAAAGGCAAUUGGGAACGUGGGUAUAUGGUAAUCAAAUAUAUGCAACUGUUUAUUGACUUUAUACAACAUGAUUUGGUUAACUGAGUGAGUUUUUGUAAAUAUUCAUAAACUUUGUCUAUUGCGUUAAAUUAUAUAUACUUGCAAUCUAACUUUUGUAUUUAUUUGUUUUUAACUUUGGAAUGAAGAAUGGUAUUUUGGAGAAUCUCAAAUCGAGAAUUUAGUGGUAGAUUUAAUGUUGGGAUUUAUUAAAAAGAUGUUUUGAUGUUGUAAGCAUUCGUUUGUGUUUCAUUGAGACUUUUGUAAUUCGAUAUACUUGAACGAGUUAUUUAAUACUAGUUAACUUUUGUCGUGAGCAUGUCUAUUUGUGUGUAAUUGAAAUUAU